UAUGCUUUUAACUUAUAUUUGAAAUAAUUGAUUAGGGAAAUAAUUAAUUAUUUGUUCCGUUUGGUGUUUGAGUUAUUUCUGGAUAAAGUCCUUGAUUUUCAUAGCAUUCUAAUUGAUUAAUGCAGGACUGUAAUGGUGAUAGCAACAAUGAUGCGCGAUGGUAUCAAGUUCAGAACAUACGAGUUUACUCAGGAUGAGAACAAAUUUUCUAACACUCUUUGGUCCUGGAAUAAGCUUGACGGAGCUCAGUUUCUGAUUCCAGUGUCUGGGCCACUUUAUGGAGUUAUUGUUUAGGGACAAAGCAAAAUCCUUUACUGUCGUCGAACCAGAGAUCAUACAGAAAACCAGAUACCUUGGACUCCAUACUGAGCCUUUGGGGGAGAUAUCUGCUGCAUCUUCAAUUUCAUGCCUAGACAGUGGACUUGUCUAUGUGGGAUCAAGUUCUGGGGGCUCACAGUUAAUUUGCAGUAAUAGAUGUUGACGUCCCAUUGUUAUGCAAACACAGCUUGUAGAGCUACAUCAAAGGACGGAUGCAAUUGCUGUAUGUAUAACAAUUGUAAAAACCUAUGCCAAUCUGUGUCGUUAUGUUGGGAUGGAAGGUCGAUCUCGGGUUGUAACUUGCUCAGGAGCUCAAAAGGAUAGUUCUUUACGCCUGGUUCGAGAUCAAAUUGAAGUAAAAGAACUGGCUUCGUAUCGUGGGUUGGGAGACAUUGUAGGGAUGUGGUCCUAUGUCACAAUCGAUCCGUAUGACACAGUCCUGGUUGUAAGCUGCUACAUAGGACAGCACAAGUUUUUGAAAUAGAUUCUCAAGGUAACUUAGAAGAAUAUAAGAUAAGAGCUUGGGUUCUGAAGAGAUUUCCUUUGCCAUAAUGCUAUUGCGGAUCAAGUUGUGCAACUCACUGAACGUUCUGUAAGACUCGUCAGUUCAUUUGGGGAGCUAAAUCAAGAAUGGGUUCUCCCAGCAGCAGCAGGCCGUAAGAUUCACGUUGUCACGGCAACUCUUUCCAAGGUUUUCUUUUCCCUCGUAAUUUUCCAUGUCUUAGAGAUGCCAUCAUUAAAAAAUGUGGUGCUAUCCACACACCUAUGUUUACGUUUCAUACACUCGUUAAUUCUUGUUCUCUGCUCAUUUCCAAUUUAUUCAAUCCAAUGGCCGAAAAUUGAGAAGGAUGUGGAAAAGUUGGUCUUGUAUAGCACCACCUACAAAAAUGGUAGGGCCUGUUGAUGUUUUAAUUACUUAUAUGACAUGUUUUAUUGACAACUGCUACUGAAGCACACUUGUAUCAAUUGUAGGUUAAAGCCUUAAAAAAUAAGGAAUCUUAACGAAAAGCUCCUCCUAC